UUAGAGGUUCGAAGGCGAUCAGAUACCGCCCUAGUUCUAACCAUAAACGAUGCCACUGGCGAUCUGUCCUAGUUACUCGCACGACUGGACAGGCAGCCUCCGGGAAACCAAAGUCUUUGGGUUGUCCGGGGGAAGUAUGGUUGCAAAGCUGAAACUUAAAGGAAUUGACGGAAGGGCACCACCAGGAGUGGAGCCUGCGGCUUAAUUUGACUCAACACGGGAAACCUCACCAGGCCCGGACACCAAAAGGAUUGACAGAUUGAGAGCUCUUUCUUGAUUUGGUGGGUGGUGGUGCAUGGACGUUCUUAGUUGGUGGAGCGAUUUGUCUGGUUAAUUCCGAUAACGAACGAGACUCUAGCCUGUUAACUAGCCGGUAGAUCAGUAAAUUGUUAUGCGGCGAAGUGGUGUUGCUUUCCUUCGGGUGGCAUCCUGCAUAGUCGCGUCUACCGAGUCUUCUUAGAGGGACAGGCGGCGUUUAGCCGCAC
rnacentral:rRNA from 1 species